rnacentral:lncRNA from 1 species
AUGAAGUGCACGCCCCAAAUUUACUUUUUAGCACCAAAAAAAUUUGAAUUUUUCAAAGUGCGAUGUAACCACAGUAUUUGACGGUUCUAUUUGACUCUCAGAUAUGAAGUGCCCCCCCCCAAAUUUACUUUUUAGCACCAAAAAUAUUUGAAUUUUUCAAAGUGCAAUGUAACCACAGUAUUUGAUGGUUCUAUUUGACUCUCAGACAUGAAGUGCACGCCCCAAAUUAACUUUUUAGCACCAAAGAAAUGUGAAUUUUUCAAAGUGCGAUGUAACCACAGUAUUUGACGGUUCUAUUGGACUCUCAGAUAUGAAGUGCACCGCAGGCAGCAAAUGUACUAUUUAGCACCAAAAAAAUGAGAAUUUUCAAGUGCGAUGUAACCACAGUAUUUGACGGUUCUAUUUCUCAGACUCUCAGAUACGAUGUAACCACAGUAUUUGACGGUUCUAUUUGACUCUCAGAUACGAAGUGCACGCCCCAAAUUUACUUUUUAGCACCAAAGAAAUGUGAAUUUUUCAAAGUGCGAUGUAACCACAGUAUUUGACGGUUCUGUUUGACUCUCAGAUAUGAAGUGCACCGCAGGCAGCAAAUGUACUAUUUAGCACCAAAAAAAUGUGAAUUCGUCAAACUGCUAUGUCACAGCAGUAUUUAACGGUUCUAUUUGACUCUCAGAUAUGAAGUGCACUCCACAAAUGUACUUUUUAGCACCAAAAAAUGAGAAUUAGUCAAACUGCAAUGUCACAGCAGUAUUUGACGGUUCUAUUUGACUCUCAGAUAUGAAGUGCACGCCACAAAUUUACUUUUUAGCACCCAAAAAAUUUUUGUUUGUCAAACUGCAAUGUCACAACAGUAUUUAAAAAUGCCUAGAUGUUGCCCACUGAGCUACCAGAACAGGAUUAAAGUAAUGUGCCUGGCACACAUGCAGUUGCAAGUGUCCACCUAACAAACAGACUGAUUGCUUAUUUCUCUGUGGCACUGGGCUCAGGGCAGGGCACAAAAAUGUAGUAUAGCACCCACAAAAAUAAACGCUGUAGUUUGCAGAUUCAGCACCAGAAUUCUUUCCUAAUCAGUCCCUCACAGCUGCAGCAUCCUUUCCCUACACUAACAAGAGCUCAUGUGACUCUAUAGAUAUAGAGGAUUGGCCUUGUUGCACUGGCCAAUCACAGCCAUGCCAUUAGUAGGCAUGGCUGUGAUGGCUUCUAAGGGCACAUGAGUCAAACGCUGGUUGAUUGGCUGCCCUGCAGCUUUUCAAAACGCGCCAUUAAAUCGCCGAACACCGAACUCGAACGGUUACUGAAAUGUCCGGGCUCGGGGUCCAAAAAUCGUAAUGUUCGGUACGAACCUGAACUUUCCAGUUCGGGUUCGCUCAUCUCUACUCAUUUUUUACAUGUUAUAUGAGUUAAUUUACUAAAGCAGUACAAGCUUAACACAGAGUGUAAAGGCAUGGAUUAUUGCAAAGUGUGGCACAAGAUAUGUGACGUACAGAACACUGCGAUGAGAAAUGAGUAUUGCAAGACAAGUAUAUUUUAACUCAGAUUUCUACUGCUGGUGCACUUUUUAAAUACCGACAGGCUAUAUCUACUGCCUAUUACACUUAAAUUUUAGUACCACUGGGUUUACUUCAAUAAUUACAUAAAAGGAAGAAACAUACAAUUCCCUGCUGUGCUAGGUAACAAUUUCUAAAAUGCCUAGGCUUGUAAGUGUGCUGCUCUGCUUCAUCAGCCGAUACCUGUGACAGUCCAUUGUAUCAUACUGCACGAGACUGCUUCCGCCAAUUUGAUGGGGUCGCCGCAUCGGACCCAAGCCUUACGGCAUAUCGGCAAGUGGUUUCCCAGUGUCCAUCCUUGUCCAGCAACAGAAGCUUGCAUCCCUCCCAUCACUUGAACCCAGCGCCACAUGGCUGAUACCUUCUGUCUGGAUAGGCGGUUAUUCAGUUUUUUUAUUUUAUUUUCUACAUUAUUCCAGUUUCAAACUACUCCUGGCAUCCUAUUCAAUUUCAUCUAAUAUAUCUCUUUUACUGACAUUACACAGAUCAACCUCAUGGCAGAACAACAUGUGGCUUUCUGGUUGUUAUUUGUGUUGCAAGGCAACAACUCACAAUUGCUUUCAUUAUCUAUCAAUAAUGAUAAUAAAUAAGUAGAUGAUCCUGUAAUUUUGUUAGCUGCAACUUUUUUGUGUUUGCUUUCAAU